CCUACGGGUGGCAGCAGUAGGGAAUAUUGCUCAAUGGGGGAAACCCUGAAGCAGCAACGCCGCGUGGAGGAUGAAGGUUUUCGGAUUGUAAACUCCUUUUGUUAGAGAAGAUAAUGACGGUAUCUAACGAAUAAGCACCGGCUAACUCCGUGCCAGCAGCCGCGGUAAUACGGAGGGUGCAAGCGUUACUCGGAGUCACUGGGCGUAAAGGGCGCGUAGGCGGGUUAGCAAGUCAGAUGUGAAAUCCUAUGGCUUAACCAUAGAACUGCAUUUGAAACUGUUAUUCUAGAGUAUGGUAGAGGUAGGUGGAAUUCUUUGUGUAGGGGUAAAAUCCGUAGAGAUCAAGAGGAAUACUCAUUGCGAAGGCGACCUGCUAGAACAUAACUGACGCUAAUGCGCGAAAGCGUGGGGAGCAAACAGGAUUAGAUACCCGAGUAGUC
rnacentral:rRNA from 1 species